rnacentral:rRNA from 1 species
GAUGAACGCUGGCGGCGUGCUUAAUACAUGCAAGUCGAACGGAGAUAGUAGCAAUAUUAUCUUAGUGGCGAACGGGUGAGUAACGCGUUGGUGACCUGCCCCGAAGAGAGGGAUAGCAGUUCGAAAGGACUGAUAAUACCUCAUGUGGUUGAAGGUUUUAGAAUCCUUCAACUAAACGGAUUUAUUCGCUUCGGGAGGGGCCUGCGUCCCAUCAGCUAGUUGGUAGGGUAAUGGCCUACCAAGGCGAUGACGGGUAGGGGACCUGAGAGGGUGGCCCCCCACAAUGGAACUGAAACACGGUCCAUACACCUACGGGUGGCAGCAGUAGGGAAUAUUGGUAAUCUGCGAAAGCGGGAACCAGCAACGCCGCGUGCACGAUGAAGGCCUUCGGUCGUAAGUAGCUUUAGUAGAGGAUGAGGAAGGACGAGUA